UGGGGAAUAUUGGACAAUGGGCGAAAGCCUGAUCCAGCCAUGCCGCGUGUGUGAAGAAGGUCUUCGGAUUGUAAAGCACUUUAAGUUGGGAGGAAGGGCAGUAAGCGAAUACCUUGCUGUUUUGACGUUACCGACAGAAUAAGCACCGGCUAACUCUGUGCCAGCAGCCGCGGUAAUACAGAGGGUGCAAGCGUUAAUCGGAAUUACUGGGCGUAAAGCGCGCGUAGGUGGUUCGUUAAGUUGAAUGUGAAAGCCCCGGGCUCAACCUGGGAACUGCAACCAAAAAUGGCGAGCUAGAGUAGGGCAGAGGGUGGUGGAAUUUCCUGUGUAGCGGUGAAAUGCGUAGAUAUAGGAAGGAACACCAGUGGCGAAGGCGACCACCUGGGAUCAAACUGACACUGGGGUGCGAAAGCGUGGGGAGCAAACAGG
rnacentral:rRNA from 1 species